CUGGGCGUAAAGCGUGCGUAGGCGGUUGAUUAAGCGAGAUGUGAAAUCCCGGGGCUUAACCUCGGAACUGCAUUUCGAACUGGUCGACUAGAGUUUUGUAGAGGGUGGUGGAAUUUCCAGUGUAGCGGUGAAAUGCGUAGAGAUUGGAAGGAACAUCAGUGGCGAAGGCGGCCACCUGGACAAAAACUGACGCUGAGGCACGAAAGCGUGGGUAGCAAACAGGAUUAGAUACCCUGGUAGUCCACGCCGUAAACGAUGUCAACUAGCUGUCUGUGUUUUAAACGUGGGUAGCGUAGCUAACGCGCUAAGUUGACCGCCUGGGGAGUACGGCCGCAAGGUUAAAACUCAAAUGAAUUGACGGGGGCCCGCACAAGCGGUGGAGCAUGUGGUUUAAUUCGAUGCAACGCGAAGAACCUUACCAUCCCUUGACAUCCAGAGAAUUUUCUAGAGAUAGAUUAGUGCCUUCGGGAACUCUGAGACAGGUGCUGCAUGGCUGUCGUCAGCUCGUGUUGUGAAAUGUUGGGUUAAGUCCCGCAACGAGCGCAACCCUUAUCCUUACUUGCCAGCGGGUAAUGCCGGGAACUUUAAGGAGACUGCCGGUGAUAAACCGGAGGAAGGUGGGGACGACGUCAAGUCAUCAUGGCCCUUACGGGAUGGGCUACACACGUGCUACAAUGGCGUAUACAGAGUGCAGCGAGACCGCGAGGUGGAGCGAAUCACACAAAGUACGUCGUAGUCCGGAUUGGAGUCUGCAACUCGACUCCAUGAAGUCGGAAUCGCUAGUAAUCGUAGAUCAGAAUGCUACGGUGAAUACGUUCCCGGGCCUUGUACACACCGCCCGUCACACCAUGGGAGUGGGUUGCAAAAGAAGUGGCUAGUUUAACCUUCGGGAGA
rnacentral:rRNA from 1 species